GUAGGGGGCAAGCGUUGUCCGGAUUUAUUGGGCGUAAAGAGCUCGUAGGUGGUUCGGUAAGUCAGGUGUGAAACCUCCAGGCUCAACCUGGAGACGCCACUUGAUACUGCUGUGACUGGAGUCCGGUAGGGGAGCGUGGAAUUCCUGGUGUAGCGGUGAAAUGCGCAGAUAUCAGGAGGAACACCAGCGGCGAAGGCGGCGCUCUGGGCCGGUACUGACACUGAGGAGCGAAAGCGUGGGUAGCAAACAGGAUUAGAUACCCUGGUAGUCCACGCCGUAAACGUUGGGCACUAGGUGUGGGUCUCAACCAACGGGAUCUGUGCCGUAGCUAACGCAUUAAGUGCCCCGCCUGGGGAGUACGGCCGCAAGGCUA
rnacentral:rRNA from 1 species